rnacentral:rRNA from 1 species
GACGAACGCUGGCGGCGUGCUUAACACAUGCAAGUCGAACGAAGUGGCGAACGGGUGAGUAACGCGUAAUCCACCUGCCCUUCAGAGGGGGACAACAGUUGGAACGACCGCUAAUACCGGAUACUGAAAGAGGGGGAUGCGUAUGAUUAGGUAGGUGGAGGGGUAACGGCCCACCAAGGCCAUGAUGAGGAGCCGGUCUGAGAGGAUGAACGGCCACAGUGGGACUGAGACACGGCCCAGACUCCUACGGGAGGCAGCAGUGGGGAAUCUUCCGCAAUGGACGAAAGUCUGACGGAGCAACGCCGCGUGAGUGAUGACGGCCUGCGGGUUGUAAAGCUCUGUUAAUCGGGACGCGGUACCGGAAUAGAAAGCCACGGCUAACUACGUGCCAGCAGCCGCGGUAAUUC